GCUAAGAAAUCCAUCUAUUGUGGCAGGAGCUACCAACAAGCCAGAAUCCACAGAAGAAAAAGAAGACCAAGCAAUCUCACCAGUAGGCCUAGAGAAAUCCCUGGCCAAACUAUUCCGAAGUAAGCUCUGGAUCGCCGUGCUCUCGCUCUUUCUCACGGCCUUCAUAGCCGGCUACCUUUACUUCUUUAUCACGGGGAAUGGAGCUGACGAAGUUCCCAUCAUGAAGUACCAGUACUACCAGUACACCA
rnacentral:lncRNA from 1 species